rnacentral:rRNA from 1 species
AUUGAACGCUGGCGGCAUGCCUAACACAUGCAAGUCGAGCGGAGCGGCGGACGGGUAAGUAAUGCCUAGGAAUCUGCCUGGUAGUGGGGGAUCACGUCCGGAAACGGAAGCCAAUAACGCAUACUAGCAGAUGAGCCUAGGUCGGAUUAGCUAGUUGGUGGGGUAGAGGACUACCAAGGCGACGAGCCAUAACUGGUCUGAGAGGAUGAUCAGUCACACUGGAACUGAGACACGGUCCAGACUCCUACGGGAGGCAGCAGUAGGGAAUAUUGGGCAAUGGGCGAAAGCCUGAUCGAGCCAUGCCGCGUGUGUGAAGAAGGUUUUCGGAUUGUAAAGCACUUUAGGUUGGGAGGCGUUACCAACAGAAUAAGCAACGGCUAACUUCGUGCCAGCAGCCGCGGUAAUUC